UGCCCUCACAAAAAAAUAAAGGAAAGGAUAAAGGGAAAAAUGAAAGGGAAGUUUCAAAAUAAAAACAGAACUGAUGUUUUAAAAUUGGCUGGGAAAUUGGAGUAAAUCAAUGGGCACUCUGACAAAGAGAAUGGCAGAGACAAAUCCUAACUACAGGCAGCAGCAGCAGCAGAUUCAUUAAGACAUUUAAUAGCUCUAGUACAAUAGCAGCACUGAGGAUUAGUCCAGGUCUGUGACUCCUUCAAUGUGGAGGAAAAAGCAUGGAAACUCCAUUCACAGAUGUAGAUUGCACUUUGUUUAUAAAAGUAUAAGAAAGCUACCCAAAGCAAAGAUUAAUCGGAUACAAAAUAAAUCCAUGGAAAUCAUCAGUAAUUCUUUAUACUGCCAGUAAGUUUUAUACAACGGGAGAGGUAGAAGGAGUAAACCCACUUAAAACAAAUACAAAAUGUAUUAAAUAUUUAGGAGAUAACCUACCUCGACCCACAAAACCUAUAUAAACCUGACAAAGUUUACAGAUAUUAAGGAAGACCUAGGUAGUUGGAGAGAUAUUCAAUGUUCAUGGUUGGUCAUGCCAAUAUACAAAAAUAACAUUAAGCUAUAGAUUUAGUGUUAUACAAAUCAAAUUGCCAGGGGCAUUCUUAUAGAAUUCAAUAAAUAAACUUCAAUUUUAAGUGCAUUAGAAUAGUAACAAAUUUUAUAGAGAAGAAAGAAAAACUAAUUCAAAAGGAAAAUGAAAAAAAAAGUAGGAAAGAAGGAGUAUUGCUAGGUCUUAAAUGAUAUUACAAUGCAGAACAUUUAGUAUCAACUAUCAAAGAAAAAUAUUAAUACUUCUAAUGUGCUUUGUUUUUGUGUUCCAGAAACAAUUUUGUUGAAUUUCUCAGGAUCCCAUGCCAAGACCACUCCUCUGUUUUUACUCCUCUCUUUUUACUUAAGAGGCACCCUGUCUUCUAGAAGUAAGGCCCAGCAAGCAAGCUGUGUCCUGAGGGUGAAUGAUCAGAAAAGUUUGGAAACCACAGCUCUGGACAACCCACCAGUCCCUGGAUGAACCAAGACCUAUCCAAAGAAGGACCAUCCAAGAAUAGAGGUGACGUCAGUUUGAGGCCUGAAAGUUCCAUACAGUCACAACUGACUGGUGGCCAUAGGGGAUUCCCUGGUAAUGACUAUGGUGACUUUGAAGAAGAUGGUCAUCACCAAGAGGAUUAUCUCAAAGCUGGCUAUUGUACCAGGAGACAUAGACUAGGAGUUGUUGGGCAAUGCAGAGCCAAGGUGAGAUGUAAUGUGCCCAAUCAGGAAUCCUGAAAUCUACUUUGUGUUCCUAAGAGCUAUAAAUACCAACCUCUUGAGAGAAUGUCAUGGCAAUGGUAAAUUCAACUACCAAAAUCUGUUUUAAGUUGUUCUGACAGUGUAUACUAUCGAUUCUUUGUGUAAAGGAAAUAAAUGUCUGUCCAAUACCUG